rnacentral:rRNA from 1 species
CCUAAGGUAGCGAAAUUCCUUGUCGGGUAAGUUCCGACCUGCACGAAUGGCGUAAUGAUGGCCAGGCUGUCUCCACCCGAGACUCAGUGAAAUUGAACUCGCUGUGAAGAUGCAGUGUACCCGCGGCAAGACGGAAAGACCCCGUGAACCUUUACUAUAGCUUGACACUGAACAUUGAGCCUUGAUGUGUAGGAUAGGUGGGAGGCUUUGAAGCGUGGACGCCAGUCUGCGUGGAGCCAACCUUGAAAUACCACCCUUUAAUGUUUGAUGUUCUAACGUUGGCCCCUAACCGGGGUUGCGGACAGUGUCUGGUGGGUAGUUUGACUGGGGCGGUCUCCUCCCAAAGCGUAACGGAGGAGCACGAAGGUUAGCUAAUCCUGGUCGGACAUCAGGAGGUUAGUGCAAUGGCAUAAGCUAGCUUGACUGCGAGCGUGACGGCGCGAGCAGGUGCGAAAGCAGGUCAUAGUGAUCCGGUGGUUCUGAAUGGAAGGGCCAUCGCUCAACGGAUAAAAGGUACUCCGGGGAUAACAGGCUGAUACCGCCCAAGAGUUCAUAUCGACGGCGGUGUUUGGCACCUCGAUGUCGGCUCAUCACAUCCUGGGGCUGAAGUAGGUCCCAAGGGUAUGGCUGUUCGCCAUUUAAAGUGGUACGCGAGCUGGGUUUAGAACGUCGUGAGACAGUUCGGUCCCUAUCUGCCGUGGGCGCUGGAGAAUUGAGGGGGGCUGCUCCUAGUACGAGAGGACCGGAGUGGACGCAUCACUGGUGUUCGGGUUGUCAUGCCAAUGGCACUGCCCGGUAGCUAAAUGCGGAAGAGAUAAGUGCUGAAAGCAUCUAAGCACGAAACUUGCCCCGAGAUGAGUUCUCCCUGAGACUUUAAGUCUCCUGAAGGAACGUUGAAGACGACGACGUUGAUAGGCCGGGUGUGUAAGCGCAGCGAUGCGUUGAGCUAACCGGUACUAAUGAACCGUGAGGCUUAACCUU